CCUACGGGAGGCAGCAGUAGGGAAUCUUCCGCAAUGGACGAAAGUCUGACGGAGCAACGCCGCGUGAGCGAUGAAGGCCUUCGGGUCGUAAAGCUCUGUUGUCAGGGAAGAACAAGUACCGAAGUAACUGCCGGUACCUUGACGGUACCUGACCAGAAAGCCACGGCUAACUACGUGCCAGCAGCCGCGGUAAUACGUAGGUGGCAAGCGUUGUCCGGAAUUAUUGGGCGUAAAGCGCGCGCAGGCGGUUCCUUAAGUCUGAUGUGAAAGCCCCCGGCUCAACCGGGGAGGGUCAUUGGAAACUGGGGAACUUGAGUGCAGAAGAGGAGAGCGGAAUUCCACGUGUAGCGGUGAAAUGCGUAGAGAUGUGGAGGAACACCAGUGGCGAAGGCGGCUCUCUGGUCUGUAACUGACGCUGAGGCGCGAAAGCGUGGGGAGCGAACAGGAUUAGAUACCCUGGUAGUCCACGCCGUAAACGAUGAGUGCUAAGUGUUAGAGGGUUUCCGCCCUUUAGUGCUGCAGCAAACGCAUUAAGCACUCCGCCUGGGGAGUACGGCCGCAAGGCUGAAACUUAAAGGAAUUGACGG
rnacentral:rRNA from 1 species